rnacentral:rRNA from 1 species
AGUGAACGCUGGCGGUAGGCCUAACACAUGCAAGUCGAACGGCAGCACAGUAAGAGCUUGCUCUUACGGGUGGCGAGUGGCGGACGGGUGAGGAAUACAUCGGAAUCUACUUUUUCGUGGGGGAUAACGUAGGGAAACUUACGCUAAUACCGCAUACGACCUACGGGUGAAAGCAGGGGAUCUUCGGACCUUGCGCGAUUGAAUGAGCCGAUGUCGGAUUAGCUAGUUGGCGGGGUAAAGGCCCACCAAGGCGACGAUCCGUAGCUGGUCUGAGAGGAUGAUCAGCCACACUGGAACUGGGACACGGUCCCGACUCCUACGGGAGGCAGCAGUGGGGAAUAUUGGACAAUGGGCGCAAGCCUGAUCCAGCCAUACCGCGUGGGUGAAGAAGGCCUUCGGGUUGUAAAGCCCUUUUGUUGGGAAAGAAAAGCAGCAGGUUAAUACCCCGCUGUUCUGACGGUACCCAAAGAAUGAGCACCGGCUAACUUCGUG